UACGUAGGUCCCGAGCGUUGUCCGGAUUUAUUGGGCGUAAAGCGAGCGCAGGUGGUUUAUUAAGUCCGGUGUAAAAGGCAGUGGCUCAACCAUUGUAUGCAUUGGAAACUGGUAGACUUGAGUGCAGGAGAGGAGAGUGGAAUUCCAUGUGUAGCGGUAAAAUGCGUAGAUAUAUGGAGGAACACCGGUGGCGAAAGCGGCUCUCUGGCCUGUAACUGACACUGAGGCUCGAAAGCGUGGGGAGCAAACAGG
rnacentral:rRNA from 1 species